rnacentral:tRNA from 1 species
ACCUGGCUGGCUCAGCUGGAGGACCAUGUGACUCUUGAUCUUAAAGUCAUGGGUUUGAACCCCAUGUUGGGUG